UCCCAGUGAUGAAUCAUUUAGUAAUCUGAAAAUGUUAGAUGAUUGGUGCUCCCUUUGAACUAAAAAAAAGGUUGAGGAACCAUCGCAUUUCACCAUUGUGGAUACUAGGCAUUCUGAGGGAU
rnacentral:snoRNA from 1 species